rnacentral:rRNA from 1 species
GAUCUUCGGACCUUGCGCUAAUAGAUGAGCNUAAGUCGGAUUAGCCAGUUGGUGGGGUAAAGGCCUACCAAGGCGACGAUCUGUAGCGGGUCUGAGAGGAUGAUCCGCCACACUGGGACUGAGACACGGCCCAGACUCCUACGGGAGGCAGCAGUGGGGAAUAUUGGACAAUGGGCGCAAGCCUGAUCCAGCCAUGCCGCGUGUGUGAAGAAGGCCUUAUGGUUGUAAAGCACUUUAAGCGAGGAGGAGGCUACUGAAGUUAAUACCUUCAGAUAGUGGACGUUACUCGCAGAAUAAGCACCGGCUAACUCUGUGCCAGCAGCCGCGGUAAUACAGAGGGUGCAAGCGUUAAUCGGAUUUACUGGGCGUAAAGCGCGCGUAGGCGGCUAAUUAAGUCGAAUGUGAAAACCCCGAGCUUAACUUGGGAAUUGCAUUCGAUACUGGUUAGCUAGAGUGUGGGAGAGGAUGGUAGAAUUCCAGGUGUAGCGGUGAAAUGCGUAGAGAUCUGGAGGAAUACCGAUGGCGAAGGCAGCCAUCUGGCCUAACACUGACGCUGAGGUGCGAAAGCAUGGGGAGCAAACAGGAUUAGAUACCCUGGUAGUCCAUGCCGUAAACGAUGUCUACUAGCCGUUGGGGCCUUUGAGGCUUUAGUGGCGCAGCUAACGCGAUAAGUAGACCGCCUGGGGAGUACGGUCGCAAGACUAAAACUCAAAUGAAUUGACGGGGGCCCGCACAAGCGGUGGAGCAUGUGGUUUAAUUCGAUGCAACGCGAAGAACCUUACCUGGCCUUGACAUAGUAAGA